rnacentral:rRNA from 1 species
CUUGACAACAUAUAAGAGGUCCAGCCUGCCCAGUGACCUAGUUCAACGGCCGCGGUAUCCUAACCGUGCGAAGGUAGCGUAAUCACUUGUUCUUUAAAUGAGGACUAGUAUGAAUGGCACCACGAGGGUUAAACUGUCUCCUUUUUUUAAUCAGUGAAACUAAUCCCCCCGUGAAGAAGCGGGGAUUCUUUUAUAAGACGAGAAGACCCUAUGGAGCUUUAAACAAGUUAACACCUGCUACUAAUCUUCACUUUCCUGAACCACCACAUUAAGUAUAGCACCUCUGAUUAACAGUUUUCGAUUGGGGUGAUCAUGGAGCAAAAAUCAACCUCCACGACGAAAAGGAACACCUCCUUGAGCCAAAAGCUACAACUUUAAGCACUAAAAAACUAACGCACUUUGACCCAAUUCUUUGAGCAACGAACCAAGUUACCCUAGGGAUAACAGCGCAAUCCACUUUAAGAGCUCCUAUCGACAAGUGGGUUUACGACCUCGAUGUUGGAUCA